rnacentral:rRNA from 1 species
AUUGAACGCUGGCGGAAUGCUUUACACAUGCAAGUCGAACGGCAGCACGGGGCAACCUGGUGGCGAGUGGCGAACGGGUGAGUAAUACAUCGGAACGUGCCCAAUCGUGGGGAUAACGUAGCGAAAGUUACGCUAAUACCGCAUACGAUCUACGGAUGAAAGCGGGGAUCGCAAGACCUCGCGCGAAUGGAGCGGCCGAUGUCAGAUUAGGUAGUUGGUGGGGUAAAGGCUCACCAAGCCGACGAUCUGUAGCUGGUCUGAGAGGACGACCAGCCACACUGGGACUGAGACACGGCCCAGACUCCUACGGGAGGCAGCAGUGGGGAAUUUUGGACAAUGGGCGCAAGCCUGAUCCAG